rnacentral:rRNA from 1 species
UACGGGGGGAGCAAGCGUUGUUCGGAUUUACUGGGCGUAAAGGGCGCGUAGGCGGUCAGCACAAGUCAGUUGUGAAAUCUCCGGGCUUAACUCGGAAAGGUCAACUGAUACUGUGCGACUAGAGUGCGGAAGGGGCAACUGGAAUUCUCGGUGUAGCGGUGAAAUGCGUAGAUAUCAGGAGGAACACCUGAGGCGAAGGCGGGCUACUGGGCUGAUACUGACGCUGAUGCGCGAAAGCCAGGGGAGCAAACGGG